rnacentral:rRNA from 1 species
CCUACGGGAGGCGGCAGUGGGGAAUAUUGGACAAUGGGCGAAAGCCUGAUCCAGCAAUGCCGCGUGAGUGAUGAAGGCCUUAGGGUUGUAAAGCUCUUUUACCAGGGAUGAUAAUGACAGUACCUGGAGAAUAAGCUCCGGCUAACUCCGUGCCAGCAGCCGCGGUAAUACGGAGGGAGCUAGCGUUGUUCGGAAUUACUGGGCGUAAAGCGUACGUAGGCGGUUAUUCAAGUCAGAGGUGAAAGCCCGGGGCUCAACCCCGGAACUGCCUUUGAAACUAGAUAGCUAGAAUCUUGGAGAGGUUAGUGGAAUUCCGAGUGUAGAGGUGAAAUUCGUAGAUAUUCGGAAGAGCACCAGUGGCGAAGGCGACUAACUGGACAAGUAUUGACGCUGAGGUACGAAAGCGUGGGGAGCAAACAGGAUUAGAUACCCUGGUAGUCCACGCCGUAAACGAUGAUAACUAGUUGUUCGGGCACUUGGUGCCUGAGUGACGCAGCUAACGCAUUAAGUUAUCCGCCUGGGGAGUACGGUCGCAAGAUUAAAACUCAAAUGAAUUGACGG